rnacentral:lncRNA from 1 species
GUCAGCAUAAUGGGAACUUCUGGAGUGCUUUAUUUUAGCUCUCUAAGACAAAUAUGAAUGUAAUUUCUCACUGGGUAUCUUCUGCAUGAUCCAUGCUAUGUGAAUUCUGUUAUUUGCUCUGGGAUGACAGUACCACUGUCAGUGUCUCCUGAGUGUAUUUAAAAUUUAGUUCGUCCUGGAAUCUCAAAGGUGAAAUGAAACAUUGGAGCCAUAUGGAUUUUAAAGCACUGUUUCUUCUCCAGACCAACUGCAAUGGAAGAGAUGGAAAAAAGAAUCCAUUAGCAGCUGAAUUUGUGUCUGUCACUGCAGAAGGAGCUGCCGUUGGAGCUUUGCUGGACUCCUGCUGCUCUUUUUCUUGGGAUUGAGAGGCAUGGCCUGUGGACAGAUGGAGUCCAUGAGUCAAUGAAAGCCUUAACACUUUCCAGCCACAGAACUGCAGUGUUCUGAUUGCCAGCUGCCUGGCGGUGCAAUGGAACUGCCUGCACCCAGGUGAGGUAUCAGUGCUUCUUAAUUCCUCCUUGAGCCCAUUUCUUUCCUCUGUGCACUACGUAAUGCAGUGUGCACAUGGCCACGUUUUGGUGAAAAUUUGAUUUAUCACUUAAUUAUGUACCAUAUCUGUACUAAGAAAUUAUUUACCAUUAACUGCAAAGAAAUUUUAUUUAGUUCUGAAACUGGUGGCUCUUUUUCCCUCCUUGGCCAGGUUCUCUGCACAAAGAUGUCACCAAGAUUUACUCCAUGCUCCAAAUAGCAUCCUACCAACCCUAGCUGUAAAUCCAGCGUUGGGAUCACAUUCCACCCUGGGGACUAAAUCUGACCAUUCAUACAAUAAUUGCAGGCCUGGGGGUUUCUGUUCAAGUUCUCAACUAUUAAUGUGUGAAAUGUUAAAAAAAAAUGUCCCUCAUACCAACACUAUUGCUUUCUUUUGACUACAGGCAGUAAAGGGUGGAAGUAUAAAUUUCCUCACAUAUGGAAAAGCUGGAGGGUGUAAAAGUUAAGUCCUUCUAAAAGGCUUAUUAGGAUAAAAGAAUUUAAAGUAUCCCCUGGGCCAUAGGAAGACUAACUUAAAAUCUAUAGGCCAGAUUCUCAGCAGCAAGGAUCAAUAUAGAUCCAUUGAAGCAUAGGAAAUGUACUUAUUUAUAUAUAUCAAGUAAACAUCUGCUCCUGUAUUCAUUUAAAAUACUUAAGCUAGAAGGAUACUUGGUAAGAUUAAAAGUAUCUUAUUUUCAACGACAUUCUGAGGGGAAGAAAAAGAACAUAAAAUAAAACACUUUCCCAUUCAUAAGUUUAUGGCA